GGCGGAAUGUGACAUGUAGCGGUGAAAUGCUUAGAUAUGACACAGUACACCGAUUGCGAAGGCAGCUCACUAAGUUAUUAUUGACGCUNAGGGACGAAAGCGUGGGUAGCGAACAGGAUUAGAUACCCUGGUAGUCCACGCCGUAAACGAUGUAUACUCGUUGCCAGCGAUACACAGUUAGUGACCAAGCGAAAGUAUUAAGUAUACCACCUGGGGAGUACGAUCGCAAGAUUGAAACUCAAAGGAAUUGACGGGGGCCCGCACAAGCGGUGGAGCAUGUGGUUUAAUUCGAUGAUACGCGAGGAACCUUACCUGGGCUUAAAUGCAGAACG
rnacentral:rRNA from 1 species